UACGUAGGGGGCUAGCGUUGUCCGGAAUCAUUGGGCGUAAAGCGCGUGUAGGCGGUCCGGUAAGUCCGCUGUGAAAGUCGAGGGCUCAACCCUCGAAUGCCGGUGGAUACUGUCGGGCUAGAGUGCGGAAGAGGCGAGUGGAAUUCCUGGUGUAGCGGUGAAAUGCGCAGAUAUCAGGAGGAACACCGGUGGCGAAGGCGGGUCUCUGGGCCGUAACUGACGCUGAGGAGCGAAAGCAUGGGGAGCGAACAGG
rnacentral:rRNA from 1 species